rnacentral:pre_miRNA from 1 species
UCAAUGCUAUUAGGUCUAGUUUUUCUGCUAGACCCAAUGCUAUUGGGUCUAUUUUUGCAGCCAGAUCCAAAACUAUUUUGGAUCUGACUUAGCAUUGUUA